AGCAGUAGCCGCGGUAAUACGAAGGGUGCAAGCGUUACUCGGAAUUACUGGGCGUAAAGCGUGCGUAGGUGGUGGUUUAAGUCCGUUGUGAAAGCCCUGGGCUCAACCUGGGAAUUGCAGUGGAUACUGGGUCACUAGAGUGUGGUAGAGGAUAGUGGAAUUUCCGGUGUAGCAGUGAAAUGCGUUGAGAUCGGAAAGAACACCAACGGCGAAAGCACUCUGCUGGGCCGACACUGACACUGAGAGACGAAAGCUAGGGGAGCAAAUGGGAUUAGAUACCCCCGUAGUCCCUGUCUCUUAUAC
rnacentral:rRNA from 1 species